rnacentral:rRNA from 1 species
GAUGAACGCUGGCGGCGUGCCUAAUACAUGCAAGUCGAGCGAACGGACGAGAAGCUUGCUUCUCUGAUGUUAGCGGCGGACGGGUGAGUAACACGUGGAUAACCUACCUAUAAGACUGGGAUAACUUCGGGAAACCGGAGCUAAUACCGGAUAAUAUUUUGAACCGCAUGGUUCAAAAGUGAAAGACGGUCUUGCUGUCACUUAUAGAUGGAUCCGCGCUGCAUUAGCUAGUUGGUAAGGUAACGGCUUACCAAGGCAACGAUGCAUAGCCGACCUGAGAGGGUGAUCGGCCACACUGGAACUGAGACACGGUCCAGACUCCUACGGGAGGCAGCAGUAGGGAAUCUUCCGCAAUGGGCGAAAGCCUGACGGAGCAACGCCGCGUGAGUGAUGAAGGUCUUCGGAUUGUAAAACUCUGUUAUUAGGGAAGAACAUAUGUGUAAGUAACUGUGCACAUCUUGACGGUACCUAAUCAGAAAGCCACGGCUAACUACGUGCCAGCAGCCGCGGUAAUACGUAGGUGGCAAGCGUUAUCCGGAAUUAUUGGGCGUAAAGCGCGCGUAGGCGGUUUUUUAAGUCUGAUGUGAAAGCCCACGGCUCAACCGUGGAGGGUCAUUGGAAACUGGAAAACUUGAGUGCAGAAGAGGAAAGUGGAAUUCCAUGUGUAGCGGUGAAAUGCGUAGAGAUAUGGAGGAACACCAGUGGCGAAGGCGACUUUCUGGUCUGUAACUGACGCUGAUGUGCGAAAGCGUGGGGAUCAAACAGGAUUAGAUACCCUGGUAGUCCACGCCGUAAACGAUGAGUGCUAAGUGUUAGGGGGUUUCCGCCCCUUAGUGCUGCAGCUAACGCAUUAAGCACUCCGCCUGGGGAGUACGACCGCAAGGUUGAAACUCAAAGGAAUUGACGGGGACCCGCACAAGCGGUGGAGCAUGUGGUUUAAUUCGAAGCAACGCGAAGAACCUUACCAAAUCUUGACAUCCUUUGACAACUCUAGAGAUAGAGCUUUCCCCUUCGGGGGACAAAGUGACAGGUGGUGCAUGGUUGUCGUCAGCUCGUGUCGUGAGAUGUUGAGUUAAGUCCCGCAACGAGCGCAACCCUUAAGCUUAGUUGCCAUCAUUAAGUUGGGCACUCUAAGUUGACUGCCGGUGACAAACCGGAGGAAGGUGGGGAUGACGUCAAAUCAUCAUGCCCCUUAUGAUUUGGGCUACACACGUGCUACAAUGGACAAUACAAAGGGCAGCGAAACCGCGAGGUCAAGCAAAUCCCAUAAAGUUGUUCUCAGUUCGGAUUGUAGUCUGCAACUCGACUACAUGAAGCUGGAAUCGCUAGUAAUCGUAGAUCAGCAUGCUACGGUGAAUACGUUCCCGGGUCU